UACGUAGGGGGCAAGCGUUGUCCGGAUUUAUUGGGCGUAAAGAGCUUGUAGGCGGUUUGUCGCGUCUGCUGUGAAAUUUCGGGGCUCAACCCCGAACUUGCAGUGGGUACGGGCAGACUAGAGUGUGGUAGGGGAGACUGGAAUUCCUGGUGUAGCGGUGAAAUGCGUAGAUAUCGGGAGGAACACCAGUGGCGAAGGCGGUUGCCUGGAGCUUUGCUGACGCUGAUGCGCGAAAGCGUGGGGAGCGAUCCGG
rnacentral:rRNA from 1 species